rnacentral:rRNA from 1 species
AUUGAACGCUGGCGGCAGGCCUAACACAUGCAAGUCGAGCGGUAGAGAGAAGCUUGCUUCUCUUGAGAGCGGCGGACGGGUGAGUAAUGCCUAGGAAUCUGCCUGGUAGUGGGGGAUAACGUUCGGAAACGGACGCUGAUACCGCAUACGUCCUACGGGAGAAAGCAGGGGACCUUCGGGCCUUGCGCUAUCAGAUGAGCAUAGGUCGGAUUAGCUAGUUGGUGGGGUAAUGGCUCACCAAGGCGACGAUCCGUAACUGGUCUGAGAGGAUGAUCAGUCACACUGGAACUGAGACACGGUCCAGACUCCUACGGGAGGCAGCAGUGGGGAAUAUUGGACAAUGGGCGAAAGCCUGAUCCAGCCAUGCCGCGUGUGUGAAGAAGGUCUUCGGAUUGUAAAGCACUUUAAGUUGGGAGGAAGGGCAGUAAAUUAAUACUUUGCUGUUUUGACGUUACCGACAGAAUAAGCACCGGCUAACUCUGUGCCAGCAGCCGCAGUAA